GAGGAGAAACCAUAGUUUGGGUCUUGGAACAGAUUGUAAUGGAUGGAAGUAAAGAGCCAUUAUACUAUUUAAAAUAAUUAUUUAUUAAUACUUGUGCAAAUCCUACAUUGUGAAUCGCUUUGUCUUCUGAAAAGAUCCAUUUUGUAAUCGACAUCAAGUAAAGAACAUGUGGAGAAACAUAAAAAGCUAAGAGCAUAGUUGUAUGAAAGCUUUUACAUCUCCCAAUUAUUUUCGCCAUCCGCAGUAUUAGAUCCUACUAAGAGGGUAGCCCCACGCAAGUGCGGUUGGAGAUGUGAUUGUUGCUCUAUAUAAAUAUGUGGAGGCGAUGCUGUGUUUGGCUGUGGUCUUUGAUUUGCCAAAGAUUUGUAUUAUAAAAGGACUGAGGUGAGGUGAUGAAUUGUGGUUAUUUAUGUGUUUCAUGUUGUGUAUUAUUUUCUUGUUAUAACAAAGUAGAUUUGUGGG
rnacentral:lncRNA from 1 species